AUGGUCUAGAACCUGCCUGCAGCGCAGAAGAGCCAGGUUUCGAUGGCGGGGUCGGGAAGAUCCCCCUGGAGGAGGGCAUGGCAACCAAGUCAGCCCCCCGGUGACCUGGCAGGAGGGCCUUCCAGAGUCCUCUCGUGACUUCUUUCCUGGGAGAGGCUGAGCCGGCGUUGGGCACAGCAGGACGGCUCUCUGCAGCCUCGGUGUGGAGGUGGUGGAGGCGGUUAACCUCUGGACCACCCUGUCCCCUCCGCUAGGUGACGGAUCCCCCUCUCUGGGGCCCCACAUGCAUCCCAGGGGUCACCCCCACUCCGACCUCCCCGCCCAGGUCAGCAGCUUGCUGUCUGCGGGAAGGACUGAAUGAAUGUGACAUCUGUCCUCCUUGCUCACUAGGGCGCAGAACGUGUUUCUCCUUUAAAAGCAUCUCACGUGGGCCUUCGAUGGAGGUCUGCUCCCUGUGUGUGUGUCCUGGGGACGGGCUGGGGGCAUGGUGACCCAGCUGCAGUCACGGCUGAGCCGGGAGGGCGGCAGGACCACAAACACCCCGG